rnacentral:misc_RNA from 1 species
UCUCCGUUGGUGAGCCAGCGGAGGGAUCAUUACAGGACUCGCAAGACUCCUACAACCCUGUGAACUUAACUAUAAGCACGUUGCUUCGGCGGGUGUCUCGGAGGGGGUUCUCCCUCCCCGAGACGCUAAACCCGCCGGCAGCCUACUAUACUCUGUCUCUUUGCGUUGGCAUCUCGAGUACAAUCAAACAAGUUAAAACUUUCAACAACGGAUCUCUUGGUUCUG